GAUGAACGCUGGCGGCGUGCCUAAUACAUGCAAGUCGAGCGAACAGACGAGGAGCUUGCUCCUCUGACGUUAGCGGCGGACGGGUGAGUAACACGUGGAUAACCUACCUAUAAGACUGGGAUAACUUCGGGAAACCGGAGCUAAUACCGGAUAAUAUAUUGAACCGCAUGGUUCAAUAGUGAAAGACGGUUUUGCUGUCACUUAUAGAUGGAUCCGCGCCGCAUUAGCUAGUUGGUAAGGUAACGGCUUACCAAGGCAACGAUGCGUAGCCGACCGGAGAGGGUGAUCAGCCACACUGGAACUGAGACACGGCCCAGACUCCUACGGGAGGCAGCAGUAGGGAAUCUUCCGCAAUGGGCGAAAGCCUGACGGAGCAACGCCGCGUGAGUGAUGAAGGUCUUCGGAUCGUAAAACUCUGUUAUUAGGGAAGAACAAAUGUGUAAGUAACUAUGCACGUCUUGACGGUACCUAAUCAGAAAGCCACGGCUAACUACGUGCCAGCAGCCGCGGUAA
rnacentral:rRNA from 1 species